CCUGGUUGAUCCUGCCAGUAGCAUAUGCUUGUAUCAAAGCUUAAGCCAUGAACAUGUAAGGACACACCCCCAUGAAGUGAAACUGUGAAUGGCUCAUUAAAUCAGCUUUGGUUCCUUUGAUCACUCCAUCUGUUACUUGGAUAACUGUGGUAAUUGUAGAGCUAAUACUUGCCGAUGAGCGCAGACCUCCUGGGAAUGGAUUCAUUUAUCAGACCAAGACCAAUCCAGGCUCGCUCAGCUGCUUUGCUGACUCCAAAUAACCUCGGACUGAUUGCACAUCCCUGUGACAGCGAUGAUACAUUCGGAUGUCUGUCCUAUCCACUUCCGAUGGUACUUUCUGUGCCUACCAUGGUUACCAUGGGAAAAAGGGAAUCAGGUAUUCAAUUCUGGAGAGGGAGUCUGAGAACUGGCUACCAUGUACAAGGAAUGCAGCAGUUGCCAGAUUACCCACUCCUGGUUCAGGGAGGUAGUGACAAAAAAUAACAAUACAGGACUCUUCAGAGGCCUUGUAAUUGGAAUUAGUACAUUUUAAAUCCCUUAAGGAGGAUCCAUUAAAGGACAAGUCUGUUGCCAGCAGCUGCAGUAAUUCCAGCUUCAAUAGCAUAUAUUAAAGUUGCUGCAGUGACAAAGCUUGUAGUUGGAUCUUGGGAUCAAGAUGGCGCUCUGCCACGAGGCGAGCCACCGCUUGUGCCAGCCCCUGCCUCUUGACGCCCCCUUGAUGCUAUUGACUGAGUGUCCUGGGGUUCAGAAGCGUUUACUUUGAAAAAAGUUGAGUUUUCAAAGUAGGUCGGUCACCUGAAUACUUCAGGUAGGAAUAAUGGAAUAGGACCCAAGUUAUAUAUUUUUUGUUUUCUGAACUGGGGCCAUGAUUAAGAGGGACAGCCGAGGGCAUUCGUAUUGUGCCGUUAGAUGUGACAUUCUUGAACCGAACAUGACGAACCAAAGUGAAACCAUUUGCUGAGAAUGUUUUCAUUUAUCAAGAACAAAAGUAGGAGGUUCCAAGACGAUCAGCUACUGUUGUAGUUCUGGCCAUAAAGGAUGCUGACUACAAUCCUACAGCAUUAUUCCCAUGACCCGCCGAGCAGCUUCUGGGAAACCAAAGUCUUUGUGUUUCCGGGGGAGUUUGAUUGCAAAGCUGAAACUUAAAGCAAAUGACGGAAGGGCACCACCAGAAGUGGAGCCUAUGGCUUAAUUUGAAUCCACACAGGAAACCUGCCCUAGCCCGGACAACGGAAAGGAUGUUCAGAUUGAUAGCCCUUUCUCAGUUCUGAGGGUGGUGGUGCAUUGCCGUUCUUGUUAUGUCAUGUUAUUUGAAUUUGUACAGUGCAGCGUAUGCCAGCAGGCAUCAUGGUGCUAAACCAGACCAGGCAACGCUGAAAAGCAGGCAAAAACCAAGGAGUGCAAACAAUAAAGUUUUCAGAUGAAGGCGGAAAAUCAAGUGGUCUUUAAUUACUCAGAGGUUAAGGGUAGUUUAUUCUAGAGUAAGGCAGCUGCCACCGAAAAGGCACGGCUGCCAGUUCUGGAGCAAUGAACUCUAGGACCCUAGAUCGAGAAACUGGAAAUAGAUUGUAGAGGACUGUUAGGAAUGUAGCCACAGAAAGUAGUUUGUAAAUACUCUGCUCUAAGGCCAUAGAAGCCGCAGUGCACAAUGCAUAAAGAUUUAAACUUUACUCCUUGGUUAACGGGCCAACAAUGAAUGCAUACGAAGAACAGGCGAGA
rnacentral:rRNA from 1 species